GGGGGUAUAGUUCAUUGAUAGAGCACUUGCUUAGCAUGAACAAGACCCUGGGUUCAAUCCCCAGCACUGCCA
rnacentral:tRNA from 1 species